rnacentral:tRNA from 1 species
GGAAUUUCGCUCAGUGGUAAAGUGCUUACCUAGGAAGUGCAAAGGUCCUGGGUUCAAUUCCCAGCACCG